UACGUAGAAGACAAGUGUUAUUCAUCUUUAACAGGUUUAAAGGGUACCUAGACGGAAAAUCAAGCCAUUAGUAGGGACUAAUUUUCUAGAGUUUUAUGUGUUGAAGAUCGAAUUACCUGAAGAGCAAUAAAAUGCAUUGACACAGGGAAGACGGGUAGCGGCGAAGGCAAUCUUCUAUGUAGAACUGACGUUGAGGGACGAAGCCUUGGGAGCGAGAAGG
rnacentral:rRNA from 1 species